rnacentral:rRNA from 1 species
UACGUAGGGUGCAAGCGUUGUCCGGAAUUAUUGGGCGUAAAGAGCGUGUAGGCGGCUUGGUAAGUCCGCUGUGAAAGUCCAGGGCUCAACCCUGGAAAGCCGGUGGAAACUGUCAAGCUUGAGUCCGGAAGAGGCGAGUGGAAUUCCUGGUGUAGCGGUGAAAUGCGCAGAUAUCAGGAGGAACACCAAUGGCGAAGGCAGCUCGCUGGGACGGUACUGACGCUGAGACGCGAAAGCGUGGGGAGCAAACAGG